CUCAAAGGGAAACAGUGUUCUUCUUGCUAUGGCCAAAUUCAGAAUUCUGCUUGAAGGGAAAAAGUAUUCUUCUUGCGAUGGUCAAAUUCAGAAUUCUUCCCAAAGGGAAAAAUGAUUUUUUGCUAUGGCCAUCCCAAAUUCAGAAUAUUUUUCCCAAAGGGAAAAGUUAUUCUUAAUUCUUACAGCCAAAUAUUCAGAAUAUUCUUCCUAAGGGAAAAAGUAUUCUUCCUACAGCCAAAUUCAAAAUANGGCACAAUGGGCACAAUGGGCACUAUGGGCUGAUCGGGGUGGGGGAGGCAGCUGGGGGGAUUCAGAGUGUUCUUUUCAAAAGGAAAAGGUGUUCUUCUUGCUAUGGCCAAAUUCAGAAUUGUUCCCUAAAAGGAAAUAUUAUUCUUCUUGCUAUGGCCAAAUUCAGAAUCCUCUUCCCAAAGGGAAAAAUGAUUUUUUGCUAUGGCCAUCCCAAAUUCACAAUAUUCUUCUCAAAGGGAAAAAGUAUUCUUCCUGCUAUGGCCAAAUUCAGAAUAUUCUUCUCAAAGGGAAAUGUCAUUCUUCCUGCUAUGGCCAAAUUCAGAAUAUUCUUGCUAUGGCCAAAUUCAGAAUUGUUCUCUAAAGGAAAAAUGAUUUUUUGCUAUGGCCAUCCCAAAUUCAGAAUGUUCUUCUCAAAGAGAAAAAGUAUUCUAUUUGCUAUGGCCAAAUUCAGAAUAUUCUUCCCAAAGGGAAAAAGUAUUCUUCUUGCUAUAGCCAAAUUCAGAAUUGUUCUCUAAGGGAAAUGUUAUUCUUCCUGCUAUGGCCAAAUUCAGAAUUCUGCUUGAAGGGAAAAAGUAUUCUUCUUGCUAUGGCCAAAUUCAGAAUUCUUCCCUAAGGGAAAUAGUAUUCUUCCUGCUAUGGCCAAAUUCAAAAUAUUCUUCUCAAAAGGAAAUAUUAUUCUUCUUGCUAUGGCCAAAUUCAGAAUUCUUCCCAAAAGGAAACAGUAUUCUUCUUCCUAUGGCCAAAUUCAGAAUUGUUCUCCAAGGGAAAAAUGAUUUUUUGCUAUGGCUAUCCCAAAUUCACAAUAUUCUUCCCAAAGGGAAAAAUUAUUCCUUUUACUAUAGCCAUCCCAAAUUCAGGAUAUUCGUCCCAAAGGGAAAAAUGAUUUUUUGCUAUGGCCAUCCCAAAUUCAGAAUGUUCUUCCCUAAGGGAAAUAUCAUUCUUCUUGCUAUGGCCAAAUUCAGAAUUCUUCUCUAAGGGAAAAAUUAUUCCUUUUACUAUGGCCAUCCCAAAUUCACAAUAUUCUUCCCUAAGGGAAAAAUUAUUCUAUUUGCUAUGGCCAAAUUCACAAUGUUCUUCUCAAAAGGAAAUAGUAUUCUUCCUGCUAUGGCCAAAUUCAGAAUUCUUCUCUAAGGGAAAAACAAUUCUUCUUGCUCUAGCCAAAUUUACAAUAGUCUUCCCUAAGGGAAAAAUGAUUCUAUUUGCUAUGGCCAAAUUCACAAUGUUCUUCCCUAAGGGAAAAAAGUAUUCUUUUUGCUAUGGCCAAAUUCAGAAUUGUUCCCUAAGGGAAAAAGUAUUCUUCUUGCUAUAGGCAAAUUCAGAAUGUUCUUCCCUAAGGGAAAAAUGUAUUCUUCUUGCUAUUGGCCAAAUUCACAAUAUUCUUCCCUAAGGGAAAAAUGAUUCCAUUUGCUAUGGCCAUCCCAAAUUCAGAAUUCUGCUCGAAGGGAAAAAGUAUUCUUCUUGCUAUAGCCAAAUUCACAAUGUUCUUCUCAAAGGGAAAAAUGAUUCUUCUUGCUAUGGUCAAAUUCAGAAUUGUUCCCUAAGGGAAAAAGUAUUCUUCUUGCUAUGGCCAAAUUGAGAAUUCUUCCCUAAGGGAAAAAUGAUUCUAUUUGCUAUGGCCAUCCCAAAUUCAGAAUAUUCUUCCUAAAGGGAAAUAUUAAUCCUUUUGCUAUGGCCAAAUUCAGAAUUCUGCUCGAAGGAAAAAGUUAUUAUUUUUGCUAUAGCCAAAUUCAGAAUGUUCUUCCCUAAGGGAAAAAUGAUUUUUUGCUAUGGCCAUCCCAAAUUCACAAUGUUCUUCUCAAAGGGAAAAAUGAUUCUAUUUGCUAUGGCCAAAUUCAGAAUAUUCUUCCCUAAGGGAAAAAUUAUUCUUCUUGCUAUGGCCAAAUUCACAAUGUUCUUCCCUAAGGGAAAUAUCAUUCUUCUUGCUAUGGCCAAAUUCAGAAUAUUCUUCCUAAAGGGAAAAAUGAUUUUUUGCUAU
rnacentral:lncRNA from 1 species